AGACGGAGGGGGCUAGCGUUGUUCGGAAUUACUGGGCGUAAAGCGCGCGUAGGCGGAUUGAUUAGUCAGAGGUGAAAUCCCAGGGCUCAACCCUGGAACUGCCUUUGAAACUGUCAGUCUUGAGUUCGAGAGAGGUGAGUGGAAUUCCGAGUGUAGAGGUGAAAUUCGUAGAUAUUCGGAGGAACACCAGUGGCGAAGGCGGCUCACUGGCUCGAUACUGACGCUGAGGUGCGAAAGCGUGGGGAGCAAACAGGAUUAGAAACCCCAGUAGUCC
rnacentral:rRNA from 1 species